rnacentral:rRNA from 1 species
CAGCCGCCGCGGGAAUACGAGGGGGGCAAGCGUUGUUCGGAAUUAUUGGGCGUAAAGGGCGCGUAGGCGGUUUGGCAAGUUUGGUGUGAAAUCUUCGGGCUCAACUCGAAGUCUGCACCGAAAACUGCCGGGCUUGAGUAUGGGAGAGGUGAGUGGAAUUUCCGGUGUAGCGGUGAAAUGCGUAGAUAUCGGAAGGAACACCUGUGGCGAAAGCGGCUCACUGGACCAUUACUGACGCUGAGGCGCGAAAGCUAGGGGAGCAAACGGGAUUAGAUACCCCCGUAGUCCCUGUCUCUUAUAC